rnacentral:tRNA from 1 species
GCCUGGGUGGCUCAGUUGGAAGAGCAUGCAACUCUUGAUUUCAGGGUUGUGAGUUCAAGCCCCACAUUGGGUG